AGGAAAACGGACUUUACCAAACACGAUAUUCUUGUAAAGUUGUUGUGUGUUAUCAGCGUAGAAAGGGCUCCAGCCACAUGUCAUCUCGUACAAAAGUACCCCUAAAGACCAGAAGUCAACCAUCAUAUCAUACCCUGCUUCGUCUAAAAUAACCUCAGGAGCUAGAUAAUCCGUGGUACCGCAAAACGUACGUGUAGUAGUCCCCACUGAAAGAUUGGCCUUUGACAAACCGAAAUCACAUAAGGCAAUAUGUCCU